GACGAAGGGGACUAGCGUUGUUCGGAAUCACUGGGCGUAAAGCGCACGUAGGCGGCUUCGUAAGUCAGGGGUGAAAUCCUGGGGCUCAACCUCGGAACUGCCUUUGAUACUGCGGGUCUUGAGUCCGAUAGAGGUGGGUGGAAUUCCUAGUGUAGAGGUGAAAUUCGUAGAUAUUAGGAAGAACACCGGUGGCGAAGGCGGCCGACUGGAUCGGUACUGACGCUGAGGUGCGAAAGCGUGGGGAGCAAACAGG
rnacentral:rRNA from 1 species